rnacentral:rRNA from 1 species
AACGAACGCUGGCGGCAGGCUUAACACAUGCAAGUCGAGCGCACCGCAAGGUGAGCGGCAGACGGGUGAGUAACGCGUGGGAAUCUACCCAACCCUACGGAAUAACCCAGGGAAACUUGGACUAAUACCGUAUACGCCCUUUUGGGGAAAGAUUUAUCGGGGAUGGAUGAGCCCGCGUUGGAUUAGCUAGUUGGUGGGGUAAAGGCCUACCAAGGCGACGAUCCAUAGCUGGUCUGAGAGGAUGAUCAGCCACAUUGGGACUGAGACACGGCCCAAACUCCUACGGGAGGCAGCAGUGGGGAAUAUUGGACAAUGGGCUCAAGCCUGAUCCAGCCAUGCCGCGUGAGUGAUGAAGGCCUUAGGGUUGUAAAGCUCUUUCAGUAGGGAAGAUAAUGACGGUACCUACAGAAGAAGCCCCGGCUAACUUCGUG